rnacentral:rRNA from 1 species
UACGAAGGGGGCUAGCGUUGUUCGGAAUCACUGGGCGUAAAGGGCGCGUAGGCGGCCGAUCAAGUCGGGGGUGAAAGCCUGUGGCUCAACCGCAGAAUUGCCUUCGAUACUGUUUGGCUUGAGACCGGAAGAGGUAAGUGGAACUGCGAGUGUAGAGGUGAAAUUCGUAGAUAUUCGCAAGAACACCAGUGGCGAAGGCGGCUUACUGGUCCGGUUCUGACGCUGAGGCGCGAAAGCGUGGGGAGCAAACAGG